rnacentral:rRNA from 1 species
GACGAACGCUGGCGGCGUGCCUAAUACAUGCAAGUCGAACGCAGUGGGGACGGGUGAGUAACACGUGGGUAACCUCCCAUCAGAGGGGAUAACACUUGGAAACAGGUGCUAAACCGAUACUGAUGGAUGGACCCGCGGUGCAUUAGCUAGUUGGUGAGGUAACGGCUCACCAAGGCCAAGACUCAUAGGCGACCUUGGAGGGAGAUCGGCCCCACUGUGACUGAGACAAGGCCCAGACUCCAACGUGAGGCAGGAGUAGGGAAGCUUCGGCAAUGGACGAAAGUCUGACCGAGCAACGCCGCGGGAGUGAAGAAGGUUUUCGGAUCGUAAAACUCUGUUGUUAGAGAAGCGGUAUCUAACCAGAAAGCCACGGCUAACUACGUGCCAGCAGCCGCGGUAAGUC